AUAACGGUCCUAAGGUAGCGAAAUUCCUUGUCAGGUAAGUUCUGACCCGCACGAAUGGCGUAAUGAUUUGGGCACUGUCUCAACAGCCCGCCCGGCGAAAUUGUAGUACUGGUGAAGAUGCCAGUUACCCGCAACUAGACGGAAAGACCCCAUGGAGCUUUACUGUAGCCUAAUACUGAAGAUCGGUAAUGCAUGUACAGGAUAGGUGGGAGCCAGCGAAACCCGGGCGUCAGCUCGGAUGGAGGCAACCUUGGAAUACCACCCUUGUAUUGCUGGUUUUCUAACCUGCGGCCAUGAAUCUGGUCGGGGGACACUGUUAGGUGGGCAGUUUGACUGGGGCGGUCGCCUCCAAAAGCGUAACGGAGGCGCUCAAAGGUUGGCUCAGCACGGACGGAAAUCGUGCAUAGAGUGCAAACGCAUAAGCCAACUUGACUGCGAGACCGACGGGUCGAGCAGGUACGAAAGUAGGAGUUAGUGAUCCGGUGGUAUGUGAGUGGAAAUGCCAUCGCUCAACGGAUAAAAGUUACCCUGGGGAUAACAGGCUGAUCUCCCCCAAGAGUCCACAUCGACGGGGAGGUUUGGCACCUCGAUGUCGGCUCAUCACAUCCUGGGGCUGUAUUCGGUCCCAAGGGUUCGGCUGUUCGCCGAUUAAAGUGGUACGCGAGCUGGGUUCAGAACGUCGCGAGACAGUUCGGUCCCUAUCUGUCGUGGGCGCAGGAUAUUUGAGGAGCUCUGUCCUUAGUACGAGAGGACCGGGAUGGACGUACCUCUGGUGCACCAGUUGUCAUGCCAAUGGCACGGCUGGGCAGCUAUGUACGGAACGGAUAAACGCUGAAAGCAUCUAAGCGUGAAACCAUCCUUAAGAUGAGAUCUCUCAUAGAGUAAUCUAGUAAGACACCUUGAAGAUUACAAGGUUGAUAGGCAGGAUGUGUAAGCACAGCAAUGUGUUAAGCUGACCUGUACUAAUAUGUCGAGGGCUUGACUUA
rnacentral:rRNA from 1 species